rnacentral:rRNA from 1 species
GACGAACGCUGGCGGCGUGCUUAACACAUGCAAGUCGAACGGAAAGGCCCUGCUUUUGUGGGGUGCUCGAGUGGCGAACGGGUGAGUAACACGUGAGUAACCUGCCCUUGACUUUGGGAUAACUUCAGGAAACUGGGGCUAAUACCGGAUAGGAGCUCCUGCUGCAUGGUGGGGGUUGGAAAGUUUCGGCGGUUGGGGAUGGACUCGCGGCUUAUCAGCUUGUUGGUGGGGUAGUGGCUUACCAAGGAUUUGACGGGUAGCCGGCCUGAGAGGGUGACCGGGGACAAUGGGACUGAGAUACGGACCAGACGGCAACGGGAGGCAGCAGUGGGGAAUAUUGCAGAAUGGGCGGAAGCCUGAUGAAGAAACGGCGCGUGCGGGAUGACGGCCUUCGGGUUGUAAACAGAUUUAGCAUGUGACGAAGCGUGAGUGACGGUAAUGGGUAAAGAAGCAACGGCUAACUACGUG